GGUGAACGCUGGCGGCGUGCCUAAUACAUGCAAGUCGAACGGAGUGGCGCUCGGGUGCGUAAUGUAUAGCUAAUCUUCCCUACACUAGCGGACAACAGUUGGAAACGGCUGCUAAUACUCUCUAGGGUAGGAGGAUGCGAUAUUGUAUCAGCUAGUUGGUGAGGUAAUGGCUCACGAAGGCUAUGACGCAUAACUGGUCUGCGAGGAUGAUCAGUGACACUUGAACUGAGACACGGUCCAGACUCCUACGGGAGGGAGCAGUAGGGAAUAUUGCUCAAUGGGGGAAGCCCUGAAGCAGCAACGCCGGGAGGGGGAUGACACUUUUCGGAGCGUAAACUCCGUUUGUAAGGGAAGCGGUACCUAACGAGUAAGCACCGGCUAACUCCGUGCCAGCAGCCGCGGUAAUUC
rnacentral:rRNA from 1 species